GCCUGGUGCUUAAAAUGCAAGUCGAACGAUGAAGCCCAGCUUGCUGGGUGGAUUAGUGGCGAACGGGUGAGUAACACGUGAGUAACCUGCCCCCGACUCUGGGAUAAGCCCGGGAAACUGGGUCUAAUACCGGAUAUUACCUUUGACCGCAUGGUUGUUGGUGGAAAGAUUUAUCGGUGGGGGAUGGACUCGCGGCCUAUCAGCUUGUUGGUGAGGUAAUGGCUCACCAAGGCGACGACGGGUAGCCGGCCUGAGAGGGUGACCGGCCACACUGGGACUGAGACACGGCCCAGACUCCUACGGGAGGCAGCAGUGGGGAAUAUUGCACAAUGGGCGAAAGCCUGAUGCAGCGACGCCGCGUGAGGGAUGACGGCCUUCGGGUUGUAAACCUCUUUCAGUAGGGAAGAAGCGAAAGUGACGGUACCUGCAGAAGAAGCGCCGGCUAACUACGUGCCAGCAGCCGCGGUAAUACGUAGGGCGCAAGCGUUAUCCGGAUUUAUUGGGCGUAAAGAGCUCGUAGGCGGUUUGUCGCGUCUGCCGUGAAAGUCCGAGGCUCAACCUCGGAUCUGCGGUGGGUACGGGCAGACUAGAGUGAUGUAGGGGAGACUGGAAUUCCUGGUGUAGCGGUGAAAUGCGCAGAUAUCAGGAGGAACACCGAUGGCGAAGGCAGGUCUCUGGGCAUUUACUGACGCUGAGGAGCGAAAGCAUGGGGAGCGAACAGGAUUAGAUACCCUGGUAGUCCAUGCCGUAAACGUUGGGCACUAGGUGUGGGGGACAUUCCACGUUUUCCGCGCCGUAGCUAACGCAUUAAGUGCCCCGCCUGGGGAGUACGGCCGCAAGGCUAAAACUCAAAGGAAUUGACGGGGGCCCGCACAAGCGGCGGAGCAUGCGGAUUAAUUCGAUGCAACGCGAAGAACCUUACCAAGGCUUGACAUGUGCCAGACCGCCUCAGAGAUGGGGUUUCCCUUCGGGGCUGGUUCACAGGUGGUGCAUGGUUGUCGUCAGCUCGUGUCGUGAGAUGUUGGGUUAAGUCCCGCAACGAGCGCAACCCUCGUUCCAUGUUGCCAGCACGUAAAGGUGGGGACUCAUGGGAGACUGCCGGGGUCAACUCGGAGGAAGGUGGGGAUGACGUCAAAUCAUCAUGCCCCUUAUGUCUUGGGCUUCACGCAUGCUACAAUGGCCGGUACAAUGGGUUGCGAUACUGUGAGGUGGAGCUAAUCCCUAAAAGCCGGUCUCAGUUCGGAUUGGGGUCUGCAACUCGACCCCAUGAAGUCGGAGUCGCUAGUAAUCGCAGAUCAGCAACGCUGCGGUGAAUACGUUCCCGGGCCUUGUACACACCGCCCGUCAAGUCACGAAAGUUGGUAACACCCGAAGCCGAUGGCCUAACCACCUUGUGUGGGGGGAGUCGUCGAAGGUGGGACUGGCGAUUGGGACUAAGUCGAACAAGAGCAG
rnacentral:rRNA from 1 species